rnacentral:ncRNA from 1 species
UAAAAGAUAGAGAUGGGAAGAGUAGAUUAUGAUUUAUUUUAAAGAGAGCUGAAACUUAGGUGAAAUUCAGUAAAUAGAUUAUAUUUGAAGAUGGUCCCUAAAUUCUAUAGUCAAAUAGGCUAUGGCGGAGAGAACCGUUAAAACUAUAGGUUAAUAACCUUUUGAGAUCUAUUUUGUGAAAAAUAGAUGAAUUAGAGUGGUACCACGAACUUAAGGCCUUCGUCUCUAUU